GAUGAACGCUGGCGGCGUGCCUAAUACAUGCAAGUCGAGCGAACGGACGAGGAGCUUGCUUCUCUGAUGUUAGCGGCGGACGGGUGAGUAACACGUGGAUAACCUACCUAUAAGACUGGGAUAACUUCGGGAAACCGGAGCUAAUACCGGAUAAUAUUUUGAACCGCAUGGUUCAAAAGUGAAAGGCGGUCUUGCUGUCACUUAUAGAUGGAUCCGCGCUGCAUUAGCUAGUUGGUAAGGUAACGGCUUACCAAGGCAACGAUGCAUAGCCGACCUGAGAGGGUGAUCGGCCACACUGGAACUGAGACACGGUCCAGACUCCUACGGGAGGCAGCAGUAGGGAAUCUUCCGCAAUGGGCGAAAGCCUGACGGAGCAACGCCGCGUGAGUGAUGAAGGUCUUCGGAUCGUAAAACUCUGUUAUUAGGGAAGAACAUAUGUGUAAGUAACUGUGCACAUCUUGACGGUACCUAAUCAGAAAGCCACGGCUAACUACGUG
rnacentral:rRNA from 1 species